UGUUGAUGGUGUGGACAGUUUUGAAGAAGAGCUUUGAACUGCUCCCAUGCAUGAUAUAGAUUCUCAUCUGGCUUCUAUUUAAAGCACAUAAUCUCACUACGAAGUCU
rfam:Capsicum annuum cultivar Zunla-1 chromosome 9, whole genome shotgun sequence